CUGUUGCUUUUUUUCGCACGACUGUUGCACCGGACUAUUCAUUAACUUCUCAAGUCCUUUGUGGUUGUGUGUAUUGCUUAGUGGAUGGUUACAUCAACGGUAUAUACUUCUCUACCCCCUUCCAUUUAGUAGAUAUUGUAAAACCAAGGACAACCUCCUGAGGCUUAGGAGAAGCUAUAUAUAACUCUUUUCAACAUCUGUUAUUAGUUGGAAUUAAGUUCGGCUCAUGUGUUGGAUCACCAUUAUUCACUGCCUUCUUUGGAGAUUGAUUUUUCAGGCCAAAAUACAUUCAGUCCCUUGCCUGUAUGUAUAAACAAAAUACACUCAAUUCCUUUAUAAAAUCUUACCAUACAUCUACAAUAUACUAUUUUUUCUUUGCUAUAAGGAUGGAAUUUUAAAUGUUUGGUGAAAAACUGAUAUGUGAAGGUAAUUAGCAUUAUAAAGUCCUGAAAAUCAACUCCAACCACAAGAAGGUGGAAAGAGUAUUACUUUGUUGAAGCAUCCAAUAAAAAGAAAGCCGACUAAAGUUUUGAUAUGUAUGUUAAAAUAAAUUAGUUUGACGAGGCAGAAAAUUCAUGUUAAAGUAUUCACUAAGAUAUGAA
rnacentral:lncRNA from 1 species